rnacentral:rRNA from 1 species
ACGAACGCUGGCGGGCGUGCCUUAACAACAUGCAAGUCGAACGGGAGAUAUCCUAGUAGUAAUACAAAGAUAUCUUAGUGGGCGGACGGGCGAGUAACACGUGGGUAAACCUGCCCCUAUGGAGGGGGGAUAACACAAAGAAAUUUGUGCUAAUACCGCAUAAUAUAAACUUUAUCGCAUGGUUAGAGUUAUCCAAGAUUUAUUGCCAUAGGAUGGACCCGCGGCCCAUUAGCUAGUUGGUGAGGUAACGGCUCACCAAGGCGACGAUGGGUAGCCGACCCUGAGAGGGUGAACGGCCACAUUGGAACUGAGGACACGGUCCAGACUCCUACGGGAGGCAGCAGUGGGGAAUAUUGCACAAUGGGGGAAACCCUGAUGCAGCAACGCCGCGGUGAGCGACGAAGGCCUUCGGGUCGUAAAGCUCUGUCUUAGCUGACGAUAAUGACGGUAAGCUAGGAGGGAAGCCACGGCUAACUACGUGCCAGCAGCCGCGGUAAUACGUAGGUGGCAAGCGUUGUCCGGAUUUACUGGGGCGUAAAGGGGAGCGUAGGCGGUCUUUUUAAGUGGGGUGUGAAAUCCCUGGGCUUAAACCCAGGAAUUGCAUUCCAUACUGGGAGACUAGAGUGCAGGAGAGGAAAAGUGGAAUUCCAAGUUGUAGCGGUGAUGAAAUGCGUAGAGAUUUGGAGGAACACCAGUGGCGAAGGCGACUUUCUGGACUGUAACUGACGCUGAGGCUCGAGGAGCGUGGGGGAGCAAAACAGGAUUAGAUACCCUGGUAGUCCACGCUGUAAACGAUGAAUACUAGGUGUUUGGGGGGCGAAGGCCCUCAGUGCCGCAGUUAACACAUUAAGUAUUCCGCCCUGGGGAGUACGAUCGCAAGAUUAAAAACUCAAAGGAAUUGACGGGGGCCCGCACAAGCAGCGGAGCAUGUGGUUUAAUUCGAAGCAACGCGAAGAAACCUUACCAAGGCUUGACAUCCUAAGAAUCCUAAAGAGAUUUGGGAGUGCCCUUCGGGGAACUUAGAGACAGGUGGUGCAUGGCUUGUCGUCAGCUCGUGUCGUGAGGAUGUUGGGUUAAGUCCCGCAACGAGCGCAACCCCUAUUGUCCCUAGUUGCUACCAUAAGUGAGCACUCUAGUGAGACUGCCGAGGUUACAAACUCGGAGGAAGGUGGGGAUGACGUCAAUUCCUCAUGGCCCUUUAUGGCUUAGGGCCUUAACACACGUGCAUACAAUGGCCGGCAUACAAAAGGGCUUGCCAAGCCCCGCGAGGGGGAGCCUAAUCUCCAGAAAAGUGCCGGUCCCAGUUCCGGAUUGUCAGGCUGCAACUCGACUACAUGAAGUCGGAAGUCGCUAGUAAUCGCUGAAUCAGCAAUGUCCCGGUGAAUGACGUUUCCCGGGUCUUGUACACACCGCCCGUCACACCAUGAGGAGUGGUUGGCAACCAGAAGUCCGGUUGAGCUGAACGCGUCAAGGGAGGCAGCCUGACCGAAGGUGGAGAGUUCGAUGACUUAGGGUG